rnacentral:rRNA from 1 species
GUCGAGGGGCAGCAUAUGGAUUGCUUGCAAUCCAUGAUGGCGACCGGCGCACGGGUGCGUAACGCGUAUGUAACUUGCCUUAUGCAGGAGGAUAACCCGAAGAAAUUCGGCCUAAUACUCCAUAAGUGUCAGAGAGGCAUCUUUCGGGCAUGAAAGAUUUAUCGGCAUAAGAUAGACAUGCGUGACAUUAGCUAGUCGGUGAGGUAACGGCUCACCGAGGCGACGAUGUCUAGGGGUUCUGAGAGGAAGGUCCCCCACACUGGUACUGAGACACGGUCCAAACUCCUACGGGAGGCAGCAGUGAGGAAUAUUGGUCAAUGGCCGGAAGGCUGAACCAGCCAAGUCGCGUGAGGGAAUAAGGCCCUACGGGUCGUAAACCUCUUUUGUCAGGGAGCAAGGCCGCCCACGUGUGGACGGAAGGAGAGUACCUGGAGAAAAAGCAUCGGCUAACUCCGUGCCAGCAGCCGCGGUAAUACGGAGGAUGCGAGCGUUAUCCGGAUUUAUUGGGUUUAAAGGGUGCGUAGGCGGCCUGCCAAGUCAGCGGUAAAAUUGCGGGGCUCAACCCCGUACAGCCGUUGAAACUGCCGGGCUCGAGUGGGCGAGAAGUAUGCGGAAUGCGUGGUGUAGCGGUGAAAUGCAUAGAUAUCACGCAGAACCCCGAUUGCGAAGGCAGCAUACCGGCGCCCUACUGACGCUGAGGCACGAAAGUGCGGGGAUCAAACAGGAUUAGAUACCCUGGUAGUCCGCACAGUAAACGAUGAAUGCUAGCUGUCCGGGGGGAUUGACCCCUGGGUGGCACAGCGAAAGCGUUAAGCAUUCCACCUGGGGAGUACGCC